rfam:Ictidomys tridecemlineatus contig111543, whole genome shotgun sequence.
UGGGCUGUGGCUCAGUGGUAGAGCGCUUGCCUGGCAUGUGAGAGGCACUGGGUUCAAUUCUCAGCACCACAU